rnacentral:rRNA from 1 species
AGGACGAACGCUGGCGGCGUGCUUAACACAUGCAAGUCGAACGGUGACCCUCGGAGCUUGCUUCGGGGUGAUCAGUGGCGAACGGGUGAGUAACACGUGAGUAACCUGCCCCAGACUCUGGGAUAACCCCGGGAAACCGGAGCUAAUACCGGAUACGACACGGAGAGACAUCUCUACCGUGUGGAAAGUUUUUCGGUCUGGGAUGGACUCGCGGCCUAUCAGCUUGUUGGUGAGGUAAUGGCUCACCAAGGCGACGACGGGUA